rnacentral:rRNA from 1 species
UUGCCGGUGUAAAGACGCCAAUAGGUGAAUUGCUAGGCUUGAGGAGAGAUGAAGGACGUGACAAGCUGCGAUAAGCUCGGGGUAGGCGCACGUAUCCUAUGAUCCCGAGAUUUCCGAAUGAGUAUCUUGCACUUUAGUGCACUCCGACAUCGGAGGUCGAACCGUGGGAAUUGAAGCAUCUUAGUACCACGAGGAAGAGAAAUCAACAGAGAUUUCCCAAGUAGUGGCGAACGAAAAGGAAAUAGCCCAAACUGAAUCCUUCGGGAGAUGUGGUGUUUUGCCGCAGCAAUCACGGACUUCCGGAAGACAGUCGAAGUGGCCUGGAAAGGCCCGGCGAAGAGGGUGAUACCCCCGUAGACGAAGUGGGAAGGAGUCUAGUUGCGGCCGAGUAGCUGUCCUUGGUAGUGGGCAGUGAAUAUGGGUGAAAGUAGCAUCCAAGGCUAAAUAUCUCUCAAGACCGAUAGUGGACUAGUACCGUGAGGGAAAGCUGAAAAGUACCCUGGAAGGGGGGUGAAAAGUGCAUGAAACCUAUUGGUUACAGACGUGGGUGGCAUGAAAGGUGUUUUCUGGGCCGAGUGGUUCCAGCAAUGGGAUCCAAGUGUCUAGACUUUAGACGCCAGUGUCAUCCGUUCCGUCUCGAAACACGGGCCAGGGAGCUGACUGUCAUGGCAAGAUUAAGCCUAAAAAGGCGUAGUCGAAGGGAAACCGAGUUCUCGCAACAUUAGUGAGGAGAAGCGUGUGAAAGUGCGUAGAGUCAUGGCGGUCAGGCUAGAAGCCAGUCGAUCUAUUCCUGAGCAAGAUGAAGGCGGGCGAAAGCCCGCUGGAGGUCUGCAGAGGUUCUGACGUGCAAAUCGUUCUUAUGACUUGGGAAUAGGGGUCAAAAACCAAUCUAGACUGGCGCUCGCUAGUUCCAACCGAAGCGUCUCGCAGGGCGUGCUCUGUGGAGAUGGUGUUUCCGGUAGAGCACUGAUAGGGUGGCGCGGGGAGUAAAAUCCUCACCAUCCAUUCAAACUCCGAACGGAUGCACAUCGAAGAAGCAGGGACACGGGUUCAUGUGGCGUAAGGCUCAUGACCGAGAGGGGUUUAACCCAGACCGGAGUUAAGGUCCCCAAAUUUCUGCUAAGUGUCAAGCUAAAGAGCGUGUUCGCGCCAAGACAGCAGGGAGGUAAGCUCAGAAGUAGCUAUCCUUCAAAAAGUGUGUAACAACUUACCUGCCGAGGGCGGAUGCCUCAAAAAUGGACGGGGCUAAAGCAGAGUACCGAUACUUUGGACAGGCACCGAAAGGUGUCUCGUGGUAGGUUGGCGUAGUGAUUGGGCAGAAGCAGGGUGGUGACAUCCUGUGGACCGGUUUCUAUUGCAGAUCCUGGCGGCAGUAACAGCAUAGUAUUGUGAGAACCAAUACCACCGAAAGCGCAAGGGUUUCCAGGCAAUGCGCUAUCAGCCUGGAGGUAGUCGAUCCUAAGAGGCGCCUCAACAGAGUGCCUCGAAUGGGAAACUGGUUAAUAUUCCAGUACCUGCAUCAAGCGUUUGAACCGUAUGGCUCGCUUCCGGAUAGGGGAAGUAUAACCGUCGUUAUAUCUAACCGUUCGAGGGCCGGGGAGUGUCGUAAUGACGAGAACCGGUCCGAGGCGGGAACGGCCUCGCGUCAGCGGGGUUUUCCCGAUUCCAGGAGACCGUGAAAGGCCGUGCGGCUAGCGAGAUGCAGCUCGUACCGAGAACCGACACAGGUGCGCUGGCUUAGAAAGCUAAGGUGCUACGGGUAUACCGUAUGGCGAGGGAAUUCGGCAAAAUAGUCCUGGAGCUUCGGUAGAAGGGAUGCCUGCAGUCUUCAUGAAGAAUGGGGACCGCAGGUCGCAGUGACAAGGGGGUUUCGACUGUUUAAUAAAAACACAGGCGACUGCUAGUCCGAAAGGAUGUGUAUAGUCGCUGAAUCCUGGCCGGUGCCGGUACCUAAAACUUGGGUCCAACCGAGCUAAGGGCCGGUUAACGCCGGGAGUAACUCUGACUCUCUUAAGGUAGCCAAAUGCCUUGUCGGGUAAGUUCCGACGCGCAUGAAUGGAACAACGAGAGCCCCACUGUCCCCGCCUACAACCCGGUGAAGCCACAUAAGGUGGACGAACAGUCCAUCAUCUUCCAUCGGGGAGAGAAGACCCCGUGGAGUUUUACUGCAGCUUGUGCCUGUAGUAUAGUAGGAAUUGCACAGGGUAUCUGGGAGCCAUGCCCGACGUUCUCCGGGACGUCGGUGAAGCAACGAUGUAACACCAGACUCUUUCUGCAGUACUACUUAUCCGUUGAAGAGCGGAGACAAGUGCAGGUGGGCAGUUCGGCUGGGGCGGCACCCCUUUGAAAAGAUAUCAAAGGGGCCCAAAGGUCAGUUCAAACGGGUCAGAAAUCCGUUGAAGAGGGCAAAGCCAAAAACUGGCCUGACUGGGUUUCCAAACGCACGGAAUCCAGAGACGAAAGUCGGGCUUAGCGAUCCUUCGUGUGCCCGCUAUUGGGGCCCGGAGGUGACAGAAAAAUUACCCCAGGGAUAACAGGCUCGUCGCGGGCGAGAGCUCCUAUCGACCCCGCGGUUUGGUACCUCGAUGUCGGCUUUUCCUAUCCUGGUCCUGCAGCAGGGGCCAAGGGUGAGGCUGCUCGCCUAUUAAAAGGGAACAUGAGCUGGGUUUAGACCGUCGUGAGACAGGUCGGUCUCUGCCUGAUGGAAGCGUGAAUAACUGAGGGGAAGUUGCUCCCAGUACGAGAGGAACAGAGCAGCGUGGCCACUGGUUUACCGGUUGUCCGACAGGGCAGGCCGGGCAGCUAAGCCGUUUAAGCUAAGUGCUGAAUGCAUCUAAGCACGAAUCUUAUCCCGAGACAUGUUAUUCUAUCAUAGAUGAAGGUCGGCAGCAGAAGACUGCGUUGAUAGGAAGGUGGUGUAGAUUACAAGCUUCGGCGAGUGAUGAGCCAGCCUUUACUAAUAGACCGAUACACCGCUCA